rnacentral:rRNA from 1 species
AUAGCGUAUAUUAAAGUUGUUGCAGUUAAAAAGCUCGUAGUUGAAACUUGGGCCUGGCUGGCAGGUCCGCCUCACCGCGUGUACUUGUCCGGCCGGGCCUUUCCUUCUGGAGAACCUCAUGCCCUUCACUGGGUGUGUUGGGGAACCAGGACUUUUACUUUGAAAAAAUUAGAGUGUUCAAAGCAGGCCUUUGCUCGAAUACGUUAGCAUGGAAUAAUAGAAUAGGACGUGCGGUCUUAUUUUGUUGGUUUCUAGGACCGCCGUAAUGAUUAAUAGGGACAGUCGGGGGCAUCAGUAUUCAAUUGUCAGAGGUGAAAUUCUUGGAUUUAUUGAAGACUAACUACUG